rnacentral:rRNA from 1 species
AGUGAACGCUGGCGGUAGGCCUAACACAUGCAAGUCGAACGGCAGCACAGGAGAGCUUGCUCUCUGGGUGGCGAGUGGCGGACGGGUGAGGAAUACAUCGGAAUCUACCUUGUCGUGGGGGAUAACGUAGGGAAACUUACGCUAAUACCGCAUACGACCUUUGGGUGAAAGUGGGGGACCGCAAGGCCUCACGCGAUUAGAUGAGCCGAUGUCGGAUUGGCUAGUUGUCGGGGUAAAAGCCCACCAAGGCGACGAUCCGUAGCUGGUCUGAGAGGAUGAUCAGCCACACUGAAACUGAGACACGGUCCAGACUCCUACGGGAGGCAGCAGUGGGGAAUAUUGGACAAUGGGCGCAAGCCUGAUCCAGCCAUACCGCGUGGGUGAAGAAGGCCUUCGGGUUGUAAAGCCCUUUUGUUGGGAAAGAAAUCUUGCCGGUUAAUACCUGGCGAGGAUGACGGUACCCAAAGAAUAAGCACCGGCUAACUUCGUGCCAGCCGCCGCCGUAAGAC